UAGACUUUACCGAAAGGAUUUAUUUUGAUAGAAUAAAAUUUUAUAAGUCUAA
rnacentral:tRNA from 1 species